GACGAACGCUGGCGGCGUGCUUAACACAUGCAAGUCGAACGGAAAGGCCCCUUUGGGGGUACCCGAGUGGCGAACGGGUGAGUAACACGUGAGUAACCUGCCCUUGACUUCGGGAUAACUUCAGGAAACUGGGGCUAAUACCGGAUAGGAAUCCUUGCUGCAUGGUGGGGGUUGGAAAGCUUCGGCGGUUUUGGAUGGACUCGCGGCUUAUCAGCUUGUUGGUGGGGUAGUGGCUUACCAAGGCUUUGACGGGUAGCCGGCCUGAGAGGGCGACCGGCCACAUUGGGACUGAGAUACGGCCCAGACUCCUACGGGAGGCAGCAGUGGGGAAUAUUGCACAAUGGGCGGAAGCCUGAUGCAGCAACGCCGCGUGCGGGAUGACGGCCUUCGGGUUGUAAACCGCUUUCAGCAGGGGCGAAGCUUGUGGUGACGGUACCUGCAGAAGAAGCACCGGCUAACUACGUG
rnacentral:rRNA from 1 species